rnacentral:rRNA from 1 species
GACAUAGGUUGCGAACGUUAUCCGGAAUUAUUGGGCGUAAAGGAUGCGUAGAUGGUUUGAUAAGUUAUCAGUGGCAAAUCGGGGCUCAACCUCGUGGAAGCUGGUAAUACUGUCAUACUUGAGUGCAGGAGAAGUUAACGGAACUCUAUAUGGAGCGGUAAAAUGUGACGAUAUAUAGAAGAACACCAAUACGGCGAAGGCAGUUAACUAGUCUGUUACUGACAUUGAGGCAUGAAAGCGUGGGGAGCAAAACGG